GACGAACGCUGGCGGCGUGCCUAAUACAUGCAAGUUGAGCGCUGAAGGUUGGUACUUGUACCAACUGGAUGAGCAGCGAACGGGUGAGUAACGCGUGGGGAAUCUGCCUUUGAGCGGGGGACAACAUUUGGAAACGAAUGCUGAUACCGCAUAAAAACUUUAAACACAAGUUUUAAGUUUGAAAGAUGCAAUUGCAUCACUCAAAGAUGAUCCCGCGUUGUAUUAGCUAGUUGGUGAGGUAAAGGCUCACCAAGGCGAUGAUACAUAGCCGACCUGAGAGGGUGAUCGGCCACAUUGGGACUGAGACACGGCCCAAACUCCUACGGGAGGCAGCAGUAGGGAAUCUUCGGCAAUGGACGAAAGUCUGACCGAGCAACGCCGCGUGAGUGAAGAAGGUUGUCGGAUCGUAAAACUCUGUUGGUAGAGAAGAACGUUGGUGAGAGUGGAAAGCUCAUCAAGUGACGGUAACUACCCAGAAAGGGACGGCUAACUACGUG
rnacentral:rRNA from 1 species